rnacentral:lncRNA from 1 species
ACUACUCUCACUCGGUGCAGCUUGUGCUUUCCCCACUACUGGUUUUGGAGCCUCACCGCUACCAAACAAGUAACCCAAUGAACUCUGCCCUCCACCGCUGCUAACUCCACGACCCAUAUCUCAUAUUCGUCUAUGAUCAAAAGUUACAAGCUUAAUCUGGGCAAUGCAGAUGGGAAGUGACAAUCAGAACCUGAUCAAAUACUAAAUUCUGUAUGUCUAUGUAGAAAUUCCAAGAGAAUACAAACCAAUAGAUAGCCCUGAUUUCAACUAUGUAGAGAAUCUUAUUUCCUCCAACUUUAAUUAUCCAAAC